GCACCCGGACGCCGUCGAGUUCGCUGCAAGGAGCAAUGGCAAGCAGCAGCAGCGGUGGCAAGUAGAAGCAGUGGGCAGCAGCAGCAGAGGGCAGAAGCGGCAGGCAGAAACGGAGGGCUGCUGCCGUGUCGUGAUUUGGAUGGAAAAUUGGAGACCGUGUCCUCCAACACAAUCAAUGCAGUGCCCGACCCGGAUUUUACUUGCCUGCUAUAAGAAGGAAGGGUUCUCGGUCGGAUUCUCCGUCAGGUUGCCUCCUUGGACCAUAAUCUUCAUCAAAUCCCGUCGAAAAUGUCAUGAAACGUCCAAUGUCGCUGCCGAGUUCGCUGGAGGAAGAAGCGCCGAGUUCGCCGGAGGAACAAAAUCAUCUGUUUAGCCGUCCAAUGUCACCCGCGGCGGCUGCAACAGAGUUUCACGGAAAACAAGCCAGAAUCCGAAAGUGCUCCAUAGUUAGUUCGCCAGAAUUUCGUCGGUCGGUUCUCCGCUUCAAAUAUGUGGACGAAGAGGCUUGAAAUCAUGGUCUUUGGUUAACUCUUAUUGAAAUUAACUCUACUGUUGAGAGAGUCGUUACUGAAAGUAAUCAGGAGUUCAUUGGUGACAUAUUGGUUUUUCUUGCAAUGGUUGCUAAUUCCUACGAGGGCUUACAGGUUAACUCUUGUAAUUUUCUUCUACCAAGCGUGGAUCAGCUCCUGUAGUAGCUAUCUUUAAUUUGCAACAGGUGGUAUAUGGCGAUGAGAUGGGCUUCUUCAGCUCUUUAUUUGGCAGCUCUCUUCUGUAAUCCCCUCUAUGUUGUCAUGAAAUUUCAGCAACACAAAUUUGUGAUCCUGCCAGGUCAAAAAAAUGGUCUUGUGUGGGUUACAAACCAAUGCUUGCUUGCGUACACUCUGGUGCUCCAGUUAAAGAUCCAAAGCUAUAAUGUACUCCUUCCGUUUCCUUUUAGACUGCAUAUAACUUUUGUCUGAAGUCAAGGUAUCUUUAUUUUGACCAAACUUAUAGAAAAAACAUAUCA